AGCUUAGACAGUGGGGUUUUGCUAACUUGACUCUUUUAGACUGAGAUUAAUUAGGGUGCUCCCCAACCUCCACCCCUUUGGCCAGCUGCUUAUGGGCUCCAUGUGUGUUCACAUCCUGAAGCACAGUUGAAGAGCCUGUUUCUCUCUCAGGUGCACUGGCAGAUGGGGC